CACUAAGGGCGGCUUGCGUAACGUAUGAUAAUUGUGUUUAGGGGUAAAAUAAACACAUUUAGGUUGUUAAAUGCAAUUAACGUCUUGCAUAGCAAAAAUUUUGUUCUUAAAUACGUUUAUCGAAGUGUCAAAGUUAAAUACCAAAAAUUGGCUGUUUAGCGCCGCUAAAUACGUUUAGUGGCAUUGUAUCUGUCAAAAACGGCGGCAAUGAAGCAUGUCGUACCUAUACCUAGUACCAUUACAAUUCCUAAGCUUGGACCAUUUCCCACCACGCUGGUCCACUGAGGGUUGGUGUGUUUACAUAUCAAGAUGUGCUUAAUCUAGAUAUGUAGGUUUCCUCGCGAUGUUUUCCUUCAUUCAUGGUAUUGCUUGAUAUUGGUGAGCCACUUUUUCCACUCAUACUUACUUUGAGUUUUAUCACAAACUGAAAUGAAAUUCCAACAUCUGUAGGUAUGCUAACGCAACGCUUUCAUAGGAGAACAGAACUAGAGGGGAUAUGGAGAGGACAGAGGAGUUGCAGAAGAGGGAGAAAUCAAUUCAAUUCUU